rnacentral:lncRNA from 10 species
CUUGAUGAUGAUUCAUAUUUCCUCGUGGACACUGGGUGCCAAACAGCUGUUCAGGAGCUGCGACGGGUGUCUAACUGCUCACUGAAGAGGUCAAAGAGAGCUUUGAGAAAUGCUUGCCCUGACAGUGAUGUUUGUUCUCUCAGUGCUACCGCUGAUCGCCUUCAUACCAGCCAAUCGCAUAGCUGAGAACUCAAGCAAGCACGAAAUAGAAAAACCUCAAUUUGAAGAGUUUUAUAUUGAAAAUAUCCAGGAUUUCCUGAUUAUUUUACAGACAAGCUAACGAAAUUCAGUAGAUGACCUGCGUUUCAUCGCUGCCAGAUGAUAAACAUUUGGGAGCAGGGACCACUUGCUGAAAGGCAUCUUGAGAGAUAUGCUCCCACUUCUCAGAUCGGAAGACUAAGGCCCCAAAGCCUCCAGAUCUAGCCUCUUAAUCCAGGCUUCUUCUUAGCCACUGUGGUCUCACCCCGUUUAUCAGGCAGUGGGAUCUGUCUGCCCCACCCAACUCCAGAGCUUUUCCUUUUGUUUUGGAAUUGCCCUUGAGUUCUGCGCUGCUCUUCUCCUCUUCCCCGUGGGUAUGAAAACACCAAGGAUGUCAACAGGAAAAGACAAGGAUCUGUAAACAGAGAAGCGAGCAGGAAACAAGGCCCGCAUUCAUGGGAAUAAACUCAGCAACCCUAGAACAUUUGCCAUUCAUAACGGCAAAUUUUAAUCAGUGGUGCUGAGAAACUCUUCCCAAGCAAAAAAGGCUUGUGUCUCUCUGGGGUGGGCCUCUCUCCUUGCUCCAAAUCUGGUCUUAGUUCCCAGUCUAAGGUAGCUAGGGGAUCUUCACAGCACACUCCUUGAACAAUAUCACAUUUAUAUAACCUUGCCCCUCCCUUGUUUGUGAGUCUGGCUAUUUCUUUCCCUGUUAAAAGACAAAACCCCAACCUCGUCAUAGAACACCCACCAAACAAGAGCAGGAAUCCCUCUUUAUCUGAUGGGCUUGCCAUGCAGAGCUGCGGACCCUGAGUUGCCUGGCAGAUGGGAAGCAAGCCCAUCCUGCCCUGUGGAGGGGAGGGGCGGAGGAGAGCCCACUGCCAGUCCACAGCGGCCACACUGGAGAGACCUGCAAAUCCGGGCUGGCCGUGCAAAUCCGGGCUCAUUGUCAGGCUGGCAGCAUUGGCCAGGCCUGAGUAAAUCAAGUGAAACAGAAGACAGAUGGAUGUGACCAAGUUAUUGCCAAGAGGAAACAGACAAGGAUCUUGCUCUGUUACCCAGGCUGGAAGACAGUGGUGUGGACACAGCUCACUAUGGCCUGGACCGUCCUGGGAUGAAGCGAUCCUCCCACCUCAGCCUCCCAAGUAGCUAGAUCUAUAGACACAUGCCACUAUGCCAGGCUAAUUAUUUUAUUUUUUUGUAGAGAUGGGGUCUCACUUUUUUGCUCAGGUUGGUCCCAAACUCCUGGUCUCAAGUGAUCCUCCUGCCUCAGCCUCCCCAAGUGCUGGGAUUACCCCUGUGCCUAAAGUCUAUUUUUUUUUUUUCUUUAAGGAUCUCUUACCAUCUUUGAGAAGAGUAUCUUGUAUGAAUUGUAGAGACGCAUGAUAGAAGUCAGGAAGAGUGGCUGGGUUGAGGGAGGCUUUUUAUUGCAAUAAUCCAGGUGUCAGGGGACAAGAAGCAGGACUAGGACAUUAAUAGCUGGGAUGGAGAGAUUAGGGAACUUUCGAAAGCAAAUGGAGGAAAGGGUAAAGUCAGGGUGUGGUAGCUAGUUUCUAAAGAUUGUUCCCAGUGAACCACACCCAGUAGUGUUGUCUCACAUUGAUUCUGGACUGGGCCAUUCAAACUGAGGGAAUGAGGCAAGAUGGUACUACGUUGACUUCUCAUGACUUCCAAGGCUAGGUUGGAGGAAGGUUUGCCUGGGCCUCUUGGAAUGAGAACCCAGCUCUCACGCCGUGAGAAGCCCAAACCACCCAGCUGAGCUCCUAGCUACCAGCCAGCAUCACCCACCAGCCACAGGAGUGAGCCAUCUUGGGCAGCUAGUCCAGCUGAGCCAUGAGAUGACGGCAGCCCCAGACAACAUCUGUCCUUAAUGACCUAAGAUAACCCAACAAGAACUACCUGCCUGAGCCAAUGGACCUCCAGAAUCAGGAAGGACAGUAAGAAAUUGCUGCACCACUGAGUUUUGGGGAGGUUUAUUUUGUAGCAUUAAAGAGCCAGAACACAGAGAACACACCAGGUUGUGCUUGAGUGACUGGAGGGAGGGUGAUAUUAUUAACUGAGGUAGACAAUGUGGGAGAAAGAAUAGGUUUGGUGGGGUAAAUAGGUUUUGUUUUGGACUUCGAGAUGCCUGAGGUACUUCUAGAUGUAGUUCCUUGGUAGACAUCUGUAUGUACAAAUCCAAAAGCCAAUGAAGAGAUCUAGGCUGAAGAUGGAGAUCUGGAAGACAUCAGCAUAUAGCCCUGAGUGCAUCACCCUACCCAAAAAGUAGGACUACCCCUUCUGUAAAGAUUAGUCCAAACAGCACUUCCUCUAUGGAGAAUCCAUUGGCAUUGGUUUCUAAAAACCAGCUAUUCUUUUCCCAAUAAUUCGGUAGUUCUUUGGCAAUAUCUUAUCUACAUCUCUUACCACACUACCCUAUAAUGAUAUAUUUACAUGUCUGUCUUCCCCAGUAACUUGUAAGGUGACCCGAGAUAGGACUGUAAUUUAAUCAUGUGUCUCAUCAUUCCCAAAAGCAAGUAGACCUUCAAUAGAUGAAUGAACAAAUGAAGAUUAAUAGGGAUUAGUUGUUCAUAUCUUACUGAACAAGCUAAUUUCUUACCAAGCUAAAACUAGAAAAUAACUUACUAUGUGAUUAACAUUCUAAAAAGAAUGUUUAUUUACCUAUAUAUUUCACCCUUCUUUUAGACUUACUCCUCUCCAGAGGUUAUUUCUAAUUACACAAAUUUAUCUUCUAUUUGAUAUUUAAAUUGGGAGAGAUUUUACAGAUCAUAUUUUGAAGAUACUCUUCUUUUUGUAUGAUUGAGUAGUUGGCGGGAAAAAAAAAAAGGGAAUGCCUUAAGAUUCUGUGAAUUAAAGAGAGUUAUGGGUUUUUCUCUUUACCCAAUAAGGGAUUUCAAGUAAAUUAAACAGCUUUAGGCACUCCUUUGACUAUUUUAGAAAAUAAUGAAAACAAUUUUACUCUAAAACCUUUGAUUUUUACACCAUGGACUGCAAUGCACUUUUUUAAACCCAAUAAACAUCAUUAAUUUAUUUAGACUUUGGAAGAGUCAGUGUAAGAAUUUAAAUCAUAGGCCCAUAGGCUACCCUAUAAUUUUAGUUUUCUAUCCUUCUCAUGAGUAAAGAAAACAGCUGUGUUUAUCCAUUCAUGGCUGACAAAAUCCCUUUGUUGGUACUGACUAUCAAAGUUACUUGUAUAAACGCAAAAUCUGGCAGCAUGUUAAUUUCAAAUUAUCACAUGUACUUGAAUGAAUCUUUAGAGCAAGAACUGCCAAUUUUAAAAGGCUACUGAAAGUACUAAAAUAUUUAUCAGACAAGAGGUCUGCCAAGAGCUUUCAGGGCCCAACUGCUUCCUCAAAUUACACACUAGACAUAGAAGAUUAGGGGAAUGUUAAUAGAAUGAGAUUAUUAGUUGUGUAGAUACUUUGCUUGAAAUCUGAACUGCUGAAAUUAGAUUGGGAGCAGCUAGCCUCAUCCAAGGUUAGGGGUUGAUGAGGAAGUGCCUUUCUAGAACAAGCAAAAUUCUGAAUACUGGUUCAUGAUCACUAUCACUGCCAAGCUAGCCAGACUUUUGAUUGGAAGACUGGAAGAAAAGAGAAACUGAUCAGACGCCGCCUCCCCACCAGCUCAUCUAUAAAACCUCCUGCAUUUCACCGCGGAUCCGGCAACCCAUUUUUCUGAGACCCCUCUCUGCAGCAGAGAACUCUUCUCUUUCUUUUGCAUAUUAAACUUCCGCUCUCAACCUCAAUCUUUAUGUGUCCUCAUUAUUGUUCUCCGUGGCCAUGAGAAAAUGAACCUCGGGUGUGACUCCAGACAAUGAGGCUGUUUCACUUAGAGGUCAAACAACUUGCCCAAAGACAUGUGGCUAUUAAGUGGAAUCAAACCCAGCUCUGCCACUUACUAGUUUAAAUGGUCAGAAAGCACUGUUUUAUGGAUUUUAAUAACUUCUUAUGUCUGUGAGAUUAUUUUGUCUGCAAAUAAUAGAAAAACACAAUUUGGAUCCAUAUAAACCAUCAAGAAAUGUAUUCUUUUCCAUAGGAAG